UACAGAGGGUGCGAGCGUUGUUCGGAAUACUGGGCGUAAAGCGCGCGCAGGCGGCCUUUUAAGUCUGACGGUGAAAUGCCGGGGCUCAACCCCGUGCCCGCCGCGGAUACUGGGAGGCUGGAGACGAGUAGAGGCAAGCGGAAUUCCGGGUGUAGCGGUGGAAUGCGUAGAGAUCCGGAAGAACACCGGAGGCGAAGGCAGCUCUCUGGGACGGUACUGGACGCUGAGACGCGAAAGCGUGGGGAGCG
rnacentral:rRNA from 1 species